rnacentral:lncRNA from 7 species
AGGCUUUUGUGUUGGUUGCUGGCGCCUUCCCAAAACAAUAAGACUUCAAGGACACACCAGUGGAAUGGAGCUGUAUGUCUGUUCACACAGAAUCCUCUGAGUUAUAGAGGAGUGUAAGUAAAACCGAUAGCUGAUUUUCAUCUCCUUUGGGAUUGUUCUCUACUAUAUGUUUCAAAAAGCUCCUCUCUUCAGUGUAAUCCUUCAGCAUUGCAGCUGUGAUGUGUGGUACGGCAGCAUCAGAAAUACAAAGCAGCAGAGCACCUCUUAGCACCAAAUCCAUGGACAUCCCAGCACCUCUGGCUGAGAUUGUGAACGGGAGCUUUGCCUUGUAUCUCCGGUUUUCCCAUCGCCUGCUUGAUCUGACAUGACUUCUGUGUGCAAGUGUGCAAAAGCAGGUGUGGAGGACAGGAUUUGACAGCUGCAUACAGAGGAGAUGUAGCAUGGCCGGGUGGUGGAUGGACAAACACAUAAGCACUGCCUAGAAUGUAAAGCAGGGAAAAUAUAUAGAGCUGUGUUACAAGAUUUGCAAAACUCAUUUAAGACAAUCUCGAGAACUACAAAGGUCUGCUUCCCUGCCAUUUGUAGCUGGUUCCUUGCCACAGCAGCAGCACGUGCACUCCUUUGGGUCUUGGGUGCCUGUUAGUGGGCUCACAGAAGAGCUCCCCACUGUAGGGGUAACAGGACAUAUCUGUUCCCCUCAGAAAUGCUGUGAAAUUCAGAUGAAUCUAAUGAUGUUUGGGAAUAAAGUCCCUCUAUUGGAU